rnacentral:misc_RNA from 1 species
AACGCAUAUUGCGCUCGAGACUUCGGUCGAGAGCAUGCCUGUCUCAGCGUCGGCUCACCCCUCGCCCACCCUCCUCAUGUUUGUUUCUUCGACAAGAUCAAACAGGGGAGGUGCCUGGACGGACGUGGCCGUCUCGAUUGGCUCCGCAGGGAGCCCGAUCGGGUCGGCUGAAGUGCAGGGCCCGCGGCGCGACCCGGACAAGAGGGCGCCAGCAUGGUAGGUGGCUGUCAAUGCUGCAUGCCGCUGUCGCCCGGCCUUGGCCCGACCAGUGUCGCAUCCAAUCGUCCGCUCGGCCACCAAGCAGGAAAGCGCCGGGGCCCGCCGGUUAGUAAAAUAAUCGGCGGCGCCGGCACACUCAAACCUUCGACCUGAGAUCAGACAAGACCACCCGCUGAACUUAA